rnacentral:sRNA from 1 species
ACAGCUGAUAUGCCCAAUCCCGGGCGCCUUGCCCGGGAGCCGGGGAACCACCGAACCUGGGGUGAACCACUUAGGUGGAAGGGCUUCCUCCAGCCCGAACCCGUCAGCUAACCCGGUCGGCGUAAGGAGAAGAGGA